rnacentral:rRNA from 1 species
GAUGAACGCUGGCGGCGUGCCUAAUACAUGCAAGUCGAGCGAACAGACGAGGAGCUUGCUCCUCUGACGUUAGCGGCGGACGGGUGAGUAACACGUGGAUAACCUACCUAUAAGACUGGGAUAACUUCGGGAAACCGGAGCUAAUACCGGAUAAUAUAUUGAACCGCAUGGUUCAAUAGUGAAAGACGGUUUUGCUGUUACUUAUAGAUGGAUCCGCGCCGCAUUAGCUAGUUGGUAAGGUAACGGCUUAACAAGGCAACGAUGCGUAGCCGACCUGAGGGGGUGAUCGGCCACACUGGAACGGAGACACGGUCCAGACUCCUACGGGAGGCAGCAGUAGGGAAGGUUCCACAGUGGGCGAAAGCCUGACGGAGCAACGCCGCGUGAGUGAUGAAGGUCUUCGGAUCGUAAAACUCUGUUAUUAGGGAAGAACAAAUGUGUAAGUAACUAUGCACGUCUUGACGGUACCUAAUCAGAAAGCCACGGCUAACUACGUG